UCCACUGACAUUUCCUUACACUCUGUCACUUAUACCCUUAACUACCGAACUAAGAGGCUGGAUGCCAGUGCCACGCUAUCUGCACACAUUUCCUUUCCUCAGACAAAUCUAGUUUAGGUUCCGGCAUUCCUCUAAGAUUUCUCCAGCUGCACUCCCAGCAGCUUGAAGGCCUGAAGACCAGGAAGCAGCACUUCUGUCUAAGAUGCCCCCCCUGUGCACCGCUCAGCCUUGCUACCCUGCCAAGUGAAAACCAGGAGACUUAACAGAGCUGCUCUGGAGUAAUAAACAGCUUGGUGCCCUGAGGCCUGCAUCCAGAGAUGGUCCACUCUUGAACUUCAGGACAAACCUAAGCAAAGAAGGAGGAAAGAUGCCAAUGGUCCUUCUAAGGAAUUCAUAUAGAAUACCAUACGGAUAAAGGCUACUCCUUGAAUUCCUUCCCUUUAAGUUUAAAAUUAUAAAACCCUUAGAACGACUCUAUGU